rnacentral:rRNA from 1 species
GACGAACGCUGGCGGCGUGCUUAACACAUGCAAGUCGAACGGAAAGGCCUGCUUUCCCUUGUGGAUUGCGGGUACUCGAGUGGCGAACGGGUGAGUAACACGUGAGUGAACUGCCCCCAACUUGGGUAUAAGCCUGGGAAACUGGGUCUAAUUCCCGAUAGGACUGCAGGGUGGUGCCUGUGGUGGAAAACGAUUUUCUAGUGGUUGGGGAUGAGCUCGCGGCCUAUCAGCUUGUUGGUGGGGUAAUGGCCUACCAAGGCGGCGACGGGUAGCCGGCCUGAGGGGGUGGACGGCCACAUUGGGACUGAGAUACGGCCCAGACUCCUACGGGAGGCAGCAGUGGGGAAUAUUGCACAAUGGGCGGAAGCCUGAUGCAGCGACGCCGCGUGGGGGAUGACGGCCUUCGGGUUGUAAACUCCUUUCGACCGCGAGGAAGCCACCUGGUUGGAAGGGUGGCGACGGUAGUGGUAGAAGAAGCACCGGCUAACUACGUG